rnacentral:rRNA from 1 species
UACGUAGGGGGCUAGCGUUGUCCGGAAUCAUUGGGCGUAAAGAGCGUGUAGGCGGCCCGGUAAGUCCGCUGUGAAAGCCCCGGGCUCAACCUGGGAAUGGCAUUGGAAACUGGCUUGCUGGAGUGUGGCAGAGGGGGGUGGAAUUCCGCGUGUAGCAGUGAAAUGCGUAGAGAUGCGGAGGAACACCGAUGGCGAAGGCAGCCCCCUGGGCCAACACUGACGCUCAUGCACGAAAGCGUGGGGAGCAAACAGG